rnacentral:rRNA from 1 species
GGGCUGCAGUAUUUUGACUGUACAAAGGUAGCAUAAUCAAUAGUCUCUUAAUUGGUGACUGGUAUGAAAGAUUGGAUGAAAUAUAAACUGUCUCUAAUUUAUAUUAUGAAAUUAAUUUUUUAAUUAAAAAGUUAAAAUAUUUUUAAAAGACGAGAAGACCCUAUAGAGUUUUAUAUAUUUUUUAUUUAAAAUUUUUUAUAAAAAUAAGAAUUGAAAAUAAUAAAUUUAUUUUAUUGGGGUGAUAAAAAAAUAUAAAUAACUUUUUUUUUAGAAAAACAUUGAUAAGUGGUUAUUGGAUCCAAAAUUUUUGAUUGAAAGAAAAAAUUACCUUAGGGAUAACAGCGUAAUUUUUUUUUUUAGUUCAAAUAGGAAAAAAAGUUUGCGACCUCGAUGUUGGAUUAAGAUAAAAUUUAUAUGCAAAAGUAUAAAAUUUUGAUCUGUUCGAUCAUUAAAAUCUUACGUGAUCUGAGUUCA